rnacentral:lncRNA from 10 species
CUGGUAGAUUUUUUUUUCUGUAAGUGCACAGUGAGCUGGAGAUUGACCUAAUCAUGCAAUAAAUGCUCAGCAGAAAAUGCUGUAAAGCAAUUCCUUCCUCAUCAGUCCUCAGAAUCUGGUGAGGGUGAGCUAGAAGGGAAGGGCAGGAAGGUCAUGAUCCACACUGAGCUGAGCAGUGGGACUGUCUCUGCAUUUCACCUCAGGAAAAGUCUGCUUCACUUUGAGCCUAUGCCUUAGAGACAACAAGGAACUGGAAAUGGAGUUUCCUUGAUUGCUUGGGACUUUGGAGUGCAGUCUCGAGGCUUGAGAAAAAAGAACAUUUUCAUAUUUGGCUCUGCCGUCAGUCUGGCACACAGUUGCCUUGUAUUUAAGCUCCAAGUACCAACCAGACUUCCAUGUGUUGUCGUUUCACAGAUAACUCUAUUUGAAAGCCUUGACACUGCGGUUGAGAGAUCUCUGGAGUGUGUGCAACCAGUGGUCAGUGAGGACUGGAAAGUGGACCAUUGUUCAGUUCAGUCCUCAGGCUCUUUUUAGGUACACAAUUGCCUUGUAUUUAAGCUCCAAGUAUCAACCAGACUUCCAUGUGUUGUCGUUUCGAAGAUAACUCUAUUUGAAAGGCUUGACACUGCUGUUCAGAGAUCUCCAAAGUGUGUGCAACCCAGUGGUCAGUGAGGACUGGAAAGUGGGCCAUUGCACAGUUCAGCUCUCAGGCUCUUUUUAGGGCAAGGCACAGUGGCUACUCAUUCUCUGCAAAGAAGGAGGAAAAAAGGGAAGAAGGAGAAAGUCACAAAGGGAAAACUCACGCUGCCAAAAUGUCAAGUUUAGGGUAUUCCGGGACAGAAAAAGACACGUCCCAGCAAAGAAGACCUACCUAGACCUGCCCAGCUAAAGUGUCACUGAUUUUUAAAAAAUAAUUAAUUAAAAAUGAUUAAAUGAUUGUGUGUGUGUUGCAUGUGUGUGUGUGUGUGUUUAUAAAAGUGGGAUGGCAUUAUCACUUGUUCCUUGUAGCUGAGACUCUGGGGGUUGUGAGAUGGUCCAGAUUUCUG